AGAAGGAGGAAGGAAAGCUGUCUUCCGGAGGAAGUUGAGGAUGAGACAGGAGAUCUGCAAGUUCCCAGCUGGAAACCACAGCUUACUCCCUCACAGCAUUCCAGGAGGCGAGAAGAGGUUUGGUUAGGCUCAUUCUCCACGCUUCUACACCCUGGUUCAUGACAAUGAAAGUUGACCUGUAGGAACUAAGUCAACGUUCUCCCUUGUCCUUGGUUUCGGUCAGUGGGGCGCCUUUGGUGAAGACUGGAGGGAGAGAGGAGAGUGAGGUCAAGGUUUAUUUGCUCUUUCCUCUUUGGAAUCUAACUUCCAUGAGAGCAAGAUCUUUGUCUACUUUUUCCAGUGAUGUCACUGCUGUGUUUAUAAAAGUGCCUGGAUCAUCCUCAAACCCAAUUAAACAUGGGUGGAGUGAAAUGAAAGAAUGAAUAAAUGAAUUAUCAAAUAAUACAGAAAUUAUGUUUUGAAACCAUGGGUGAUAAACGGUCAGUCCUAAUCCUAUUUGAGUUUCAACCAUUUUUCACCAAGAAGCAAAGGAGUCCCCCGAAUAUAAUCUCAAAUAUGAUUAAGUAUUUGAAAGCUGUUGACUGGCCUCAAUGUGACUUUAAAGCUGAAACACAAACAAAAUCCGAGUUAUGCAAUGAUUUGUCAGGAAGCCAGUAAUGAAGAAAUCAGUUGGCUAGAUAAACAAGACGGAGAUUUUAAAAACUUCAGAACAUUGUAGAGGGUUCAAGCUAUAUUUUCUUUAAGCAAAAGAAUAUGAUUAUGCUAUGGAUAUUAUAAUUAGUUUGUUUUUGAAUUGAUA
ensembl:lncRNA